rnacentral:lncRNA from 1 species
UCUACAGGUCGAGCAAGUCUCGUAAAUUUCACGAUUGCGAGCCACGCUUCACGCAACCGUGUUUGCGUACUUGUGUUUCGAGUUGCGUGGUCGUGCGGAGUUAUAUUUACCAAAUUUCAUAGAAGAGUGGGUGGGGCCAAAUUUAAAUAUAAUCGUUUCUACUGAUUCAUAAUAAUAAUAUGUAGGUAUACUAUUCUCAAUAUGGUUACUGGGUGUAAAAGAUAAAUCUUAUUCUAUCUGUUCUUCAUGAGUUUUAGAUAAUUUUAGUUGUAUUUCUUUGUAAUUUUGUGUUGUACAAAGAUUAAUUUAACAUUUUCUCUGGAAGUAUUAAUUUAGAAAGAUAAUAUGCUUCAUUGGUGUUGUGUUUUGAAGUGUGAAAUGCAAAGUAAUUGUGAUAAAGUCAAGAUAAAGUUCACUUUUAAACUGAACUAAAUAAGGUAUCUGAGAGACAACAAUGGUUAAAUGCAAUACAAUGUACAGGUUUUACUAGCGAAAUGAAAAUUUUCCUGUCCUGUCUGCUGUAAUCAUUUUAUAUCUGGAAAAUAGGAAAACCAGCCGACUUAAUCGAUAAUAACAAUCUCCAGAUUGGGUUCCUUCAAUAAAUAUGGGCUAUAAACACAAUGAAAUAAGUUCCCCAAAAUCUAAAAUGGAGUGGUAUCAAAGGAGAAUUAAAGGAAAAAAUAUUCAUAUUGAAAUUAUUUAUAAGGCACUGGACUGUCUUAAAUUCUACAAUAAUACUAGGUGGGUAAAUGAUUUUAGACAUUUUUCAUUAAGAGUAGAUUAAGAUUAAGUAGAUUUUCAUUCAGUAGAUUUAAGACUUGUUUACACGGGUAGAGUAAUGAUGCAAGUACUUGAUAGAGUAGAGUAACUCUACCUGUAAAAAUGCUCAGCACAGUAGAAUAGCUGGUAGAGUGUAUAGUUGGAGUUAAAGUAGAGUGACUAGCAACCUAUGGCAAAGUAACUACUCUAUGACCACCACUACUGCCAAAAUGUCUACUCAGCUGCACACUCUACCCAUGGAACACGCUCAAUUACGGCAGAAUAGAGUAGGUAGGAGAGUACAUGGGGGCGCUGUCAUUCUGGCUGGAAUUGUGUUUUGUGUAAAUAGUGAAAAUGAAGUUCACCGAAGAUGAAACUUUAAAACUUGUAGAGCUAUAAUACGGCGAAUACCAGUGUUUAUGGAAUUUAGGUAGUGUAUACUACAGAAAUAAAAGUUUGCAGCAAGCUGCGCAGGAUGAAAUCGUCGAAAGAAUGGCAAAGG